AGAGAACUAGGUACAAGCAGAGAACAAGUUUGAAAAAUUUUCUCAUAGGCCUGAUUUAAAAUGCAGGACAUCUUACAGAGGCUGCUGAAGAUUUCCUGAGAAAAGCAGUCUGCAGCUUCAGAGAAUGCACAUGGGUGGAAAUACAACUAUAAUAAAAAGAGUUCAAUUGAUUUUUGCCUGGAAGCAAGAUCUUAAUGAAAAGGCUGUAGCCAGCAUGUCAUAGCCCUAUGAUUGUGAUGAAGAUGCAGAAAGGUGCCUCGCAUCUGUUACCCACAGUAGUAUGGCCUGUAAGCACAGUCCAGAAACCCAACAAUAUCUGCUGGAUUGAGCUUGAGAAGCUAUUGGCAAGACCAAGCCUACUGACCAGCUCUGUUGUAGCCAAACUUCCAGUAUAUAAAGGAAGGUGAAAGAAGAAGAGAAAACCAGAAACCAGAACAAGCCAUCUGAUGCACUGGGUAAAAACUUUUCUUCUUGGUUAUUUCAGGUGCACAGCAGAAUGGCACUGUAAUGUGCACAUGGGUGCAAGAAAACUCAGUCAACAGUGAUGAAGACUACUUCCAAGUGUGAUUUGGAAACAUCAACAAAGUGAAACAAACUAAAGAACUAUAUCACACGUGUAAAUUCAUGUCACAAAUUUAUACUGUGCUUUUAGACAGUUUAGUUUGUGUGUUUGGGCCAAGGAGUACCCUGUAAUGGAGCCUUGUCUUGACUGUCAAGAAAAGGUGUCUUCAGUAGCUUACUUGUUAAUCGUUCUGCUGCAAAAUAUCUUGUCUCCACUAUAUCAAUUUUACUGUGUAAUACAUAGAGCAAAGUCAUCUCCAGGCAAGAAUACAGAACACGCAUUUUUGGGAAUGCUCUGGCAAAUACCACCUUGUAAAAGCCUAUUUUCCACUGAAUCAGAAGAUGUCUGAUUCAGUAUUUUCAUGUACAGGAUGGCAUUUCAAUUAUAGAGUAGUGGCUAUGGAACUUGUCUAGGAUUUUAAAGUCCUGUCUUCAUCUACUCACUGUCUCCUCCACAUCAUAGGAAAUUCUGCUUAGCUUUUAGGCUGCUCUUAGCUGCUGUGAAGUAGGAUCUCAUCUACAAACAGCAUAAAAACAAAUGACAAACUAUGAUAUUGUGUCCAAGCCAGAAUUGUUUUGUGGCCUUCAGUUGUGAAGAUAAACCCUUUGAUAAAGUUUUUCCAGUACCCAGAGAAGCGGAUCCAUGUUUUUAGUUGGACCCAUGAUGUCUGUAAGAUUGUUGUAUGUAUACUCUUUGCUUGUGUCUACACCUAAGCAAGCUUUCAACUUUUAGAUGAAGUAGCAAGGGUAGGGGAACUUUGAUUCUUUUUCAGUUAUCUCACUAAUCAGUUCUCCAGCAGAUUCAAAGAGCAUCAGUGAGUACUCCUGCAGAAGAUGUGUGGGUCAGGUAGAGACUUGUGUCACAGAGCUUAGAAGAGGAAGGGAUGUCUUCCAGCUGCUGGUGGAAAGGUAUGAGGCUCUCUGGUACUCAGCAGGAUAUUGCAUACUUGAACUAUUAAAAGUCCUCAGAAGGUUUGUUAAAAUUGCAGAGCAGACAUUGGAAGACGACUCUGUCAAAAUUAAUUCAUAUACUGUGGAAUGCAUUUUUAUGGUUUCAGUUGGUUAUGUAAUGUAAGAAAGAUGUCAUUCUACCCACACAUUUUCGUUGCAGUGACUAGAUAGACUUGGGAAGAAACCCACUGUUGGAUGGUAGUGGAGUCACAGAAGUUCCCCGCAGGAAGAAGAUGCAGUGAUGACAAUUGCAACAGUGUGCAUUGUGCCAAAUCUCAGACUAUUAUGUGUAUUUCUAAAGCUUUGGCUCCUGGACUUAGAUAUUAGAUCCCAUAUUUAAGAUGGCAAGUUUCAAGCACUUGUAGUUACAGGAAGUGCAAACCUGAAAGAUCUAACCAGAAGGCAACAAAGCCAUAAAUAUAUUUUAAAAAGCUCUCAACUUCUCUAGCAGUCUUGGGAUUUUGGGGUAAGUUCAUUGUUUUGGAACGUUAAUCUUAACAGUAUCACUGUCUUCUGUCCUGCUUCCACUGCCACUGAGGACUUCAAACAACGAAAUA